rnacentral:lncRNA from 1 species
CCUGUUCAUGUGAGAACUUAAGAAACCUCUCAGAAUUCUGUGAUAUCUUCACACAUAAAAAGUUGCAUACAUGUAAGAAACAUUUCUACAGACAUCACUUCAUAUCUUAAAAACCACUUUAGCCGAAAAGACGUUGUAAAAGUAAAAUUAUGCAUUUUAUUCAUUCAUUCCAUCAGCUGAGAAUUGCUCUAUUGUACAAAUACAAUAUUGUACAAAAAAAUCACAAAAUGUUACAAAAUAAAAAAGUACAAACUGCAUUACUUAAUAAAUAUGACUAAAAGUAGCUAAAGUGGAAAUGAGAUAGAUUUGAGGUUGGGAACAUUGUUUGACCCAGCAAACCAUACAAGCUGUUUACAGACAUUUUUAUUUGUACAUAAUACAGGGCAAUCCUAUUUUGCCUUCUGCCAAGAAUUUAAAAGGAACAGAAUAUUAAGACAGUAUUCUCCUGCUAUAAAAUAACUGCCAAGGUUGGUUUGAGGCAUUUAUGCUAUUAAUUUUUAAAUCUCUUAGUUGAAUCCAAGAUGCUAUAUAAAGCAGGAGGCUCAUCUUGUCACAAAGUCUUAGACCAUAUUAAAAUUCUUUUAUAUAACAAAAUGACAAAUAUAAAUAAAAACAAUUGAGAGCACCAGACGAUCUACUCUAAACAUCAACCAGAGUACAGAAUAAUCACUCUGCCAUCAGCAAACAUCAGACUUUCAUUCAAGUAAGACCUGGUACUAUCCCUUAACGAAAAAAAACUCCCCACAACCUUCCCUAAGUACUUCUCUUUAAAAGGUUGACCAUUUCUAGAAAAAUAAUCAUUUCCAGAACAACAAAUGUUUGUUUCAUCAAAAUGGAAUGGGCCAAUCAUCUGGUAACAUGAAUGCAUCAAUAUCCAUUUGAAAUAAUUACCGAAGAGCUGUAAAAUUCAAAUUCAACAACAUAAAAUAACUACUAAAUUCACAAACUCUGUUCAAAAUAAUAAACUUCAUAUAAAGCACUUCUCUGGAUUUAUGCCGGAAAGCUGUUUGUCAAAAUGGAACACAUCAUAGAUGAAGCUACACCCAUUUUUAAAAAUGUUGUGCAAAAAUACAUUUUUAUAGAAAAUAGAUUACCAGGAAUGAACAAAUUUACACUGUGAGAAAUUCGCUUGCAACUUAAGUAGUGCCAUCUUUAUACAGCAAAUUAUAAAUAGCAGGAAGAUCACCCAAAGCUAUCAUGAAACAUCAUUUAGGUGCCCAGCAACCUUCAGCUCUGAGGAGAAAACAUUCAAAAAAAUGAUUAAGGCAUUACACCUACAGUAAAUCUACUAGAAGUUUAAAAGUGCUAUUACCCUGAUUCGAGUUCAUAUAAUUCUCCAAACACAAAUGACGUAUGCGAUUCUCCCAGGGUGUAGGUGUCCAGACACUUCAAGAGCAUGCAUUUUGUUCGAUAUACAUCUUGGACAGGGAUAUGGCCAUGGACUUGGCAAGCUCUUCGUCGCGUUUUCUCUGCACCUGAGUCUGUUUGCACCAAUUGUCGUACUCGGGAUUGGGAUAGCAGUGAUCAAACACCGCGUCGUAAUGUCCGUUACUGAGCCAACUCAGCCAGAUACUGGGCCUCAGCGAAUCCUCGGGGCCCAAAUAGUGGAUCAUGGUGGACACCGUGGGGCUCUCCAACCUCCCUCCAGUAGUUAAGUGGAUAUUGACAUUCAGCAUCUGCCCCAUGGCCAGCAACUCCGGGUAGCCGGCCCAGGCGCCGUCCUGGGCGGCUGCGAUGAUGAACUCGCCCACGUCGCCCUCGAUCAGGGGGCUGAAGUGGUCCAGGUGGUCGGCGAUGUAGUGCACCGUCUGCUCCCGCAGCUCGCGGUGCAGGCUCUGGUCUCCGUACACCGUCUUGCUGACGGCUCGGUAGAGACAGUUGCCGUCGGGGAUGAUGUGGAAGCGGUACUUAUUCCGCUGCCGCAGAUGUGUGUUGCAAAAAUUAAAGCAAUGCCAGCAUGUAAAAAUAAAAGUGGAAUUCCUUUCCAUUGCAUCUCCCCUUUCUCAUGUUCCAGAGGACGAUAAGCCCUGAGCUCACACCUGCUGCCAAUCCUCCUCUUUUUGCUGAGGAAGACUGGUCCUGAG